rnacentral:ncRNA from 1 species
UUAUGAUAGAGGCGCAAAUACUAACAGUACCGCACAGUAAUGGUUUUCGCAAAGCUGAGGUGUGCGUGAAAGGAGUGUUUGCCGAAGAUGACCGAGGCGAAAGGUCUUUCUGGGCGUGCGGAUAAUAUCCGUAUGACUGUCGCAAGUGCGGAGUGCUAUCUU